AAUAUCCUGGAAUAUUCGUUAAGCCUUUAUUUUGAACCUACAAAACUGUUACGGGAGUUUACGAGGCUGAAUCUGGAUAUCAAGCCCUGGCAGAAGGGAAGAAUGAAGGAUUUACAGUGACACCCACCUAUCAAGAGAUAGGAAUCAAAAUGGGGCCGACGGUAUUUUGGGUAUUGA
rnacentral:other from 1 species